GAUGAACGCUGGCGGCGUGCCUAAUACAUGCAAGUCGAGCGAACAGAUGAGGAGCUUGCUCCUCUGACGUUAGCGGCGGACGGGUGAGUAACACGUGGAUAACCUACCUAUAAGACUGGGAUAACUUCGGGAAACCGGAGCUAAUACCGGAUAAUAUAUUGAACCGCAUGGUUCAAUAGUGAAAGACGGUUUUGCUGUCACUUAUAGAUGGAUCCGCGUCGCAUUAGCUAGUUGGUAAGGUAACGGCUUACCAAGGCGACGAUGCGUAGCCGACCUGAGAGGGUGAUCGGCAAAAGGGGACUGAGAACCGGUCCAAGCCUCCGACGGGGGGAAGGAGUGGGGAUUCUCCCGGAAGGGGCGAAGGCCGGAGGGAGCAACGCGGGGGGGGGAAGAAAGUUUUUGGGAUCGAAAACCUUUUUUAUGAGGAAAGAAAAAAGGUGAAAGAAAAUAUCCCCGUUUGGACGGUCCUAAACAAAAAAGCAACGGCUAACUACGU
rnacentral:rRNA from 1 species